GAUGAACGCUGGCGGCGUGCUUAACACAUGCAAGUCGAACGGAAAGGCCCAAGCUUGCUUGGGUACUCGAGUGGCGAACGGGUGAGUAACACGUGGGUGAUCUGCCCUGCACUUCGGGAUAAGCCUGGGAAACUGGGUCUAAUACCGGAUAGGACCACUUCUUGGAUGUUGUGGUGGAAAGUUUUCUCGGUGUGGGAUGAGCUCGCGGCCUAUCCGCUUGUUGGUGGGGUAAUGGCUUACCAAGGCGUCGACGGGUAGCCGGCCCGCGAGGGUGUACGGCCACAUUGGGACUGUGAGACGGGCCAGACUCCGACGGGAGGCAGCAGUGGGGAAUAUUGCACAAAGGGCGCAAGCCUGAUGCAGCGACGCCGCGUGGGGGAUGACGGCCUUCGUGUUGUAAACUCCUUUCGCUAGGGACGAAGCGAUUUUGUGACGGUACCUGGAGAAGAAGCACCGGCUAACUACGUG
rnacentral:rRNA from 1 species